UACGUGGGGUGCAAGCGUUGUUCGGAAUUACUGGGCGUAAAGCGUGUGUAGGCGGCUCGUUAAGUCUGACGUGAAAUCCCUGGGCUUAACCCAGGAACUGCAUCGGAAACUAGCGAGCUUGAGUCCGGGAGAGGGUAGUGGAAUUCCUGGUGUAGAGGUGAAAUUCGUAGAUAUCAGGAGGAACACCGGUGGCGAAGGCGGCUACCUGGACCGGUACUGACGCUGAGACACGAAAGCGUGGGGAGCAAACAGG
rnacentral:rRNA from 1 species